rnacentral:rRNA from 1 species
GACGAACGCUGGCGGCGUGCUUAACACAUGCAAGUCGAACGAAGAGCGAUGGAAGCUUGCUUCUAUCAAUCUUAGUGGCGAACGGGUGAGUAACGCGUAAUCAACCUGCCCUUCAGAGCGGGGACAACAGUUGGAAACGACUGCUAAUACCGCAUACGAUCUGACCUCGGCAUCGAGGAUGGAUGAAAGGUGGCCUCUAUUUAUAAGCUAUCACUGAAGGAGGGGAUUGCGUCUGAUUAGCUAGUUGGAGGGGUAACGGCCCACCAAGGCGAUGAUCAGUAGCCGGUCUGAGAGGAUGAACGGCCACAUUGGGACUGAGACACGGCCCAGACUCCUACGGGAGGCAGCAGUGGGGAAUCUUCCGCAAUGGACGAAAGUCUGACGGAGCAACGCCGCGUGAGUGAUGACGGCCUUCGGGUUGUAAAGCUCUGUUAAUCGGGACGAAAGGCCUUCUUGCGAAUAGUUAGAAGGAUUGACGGACCG